rnacentral:rRNA from 1 species
GACGAACGCUGGCGGCGUGCUUAACACAUGCAAGUCGAACGGAAAGGCCCUGCUUUUGUGGGGUGCUCGAGUGGCGAACGGGUGAGUAACACGUGAGUAACCUGCCCUUGACUUUGGGAUAACUUCAGGAAACUGGGGCUAAUACCGGAUAGGAGCUCCUGCUGCAUGGUGGGGGUUGGAAAGUUUCGGCGGUUGGGGAUGGACUCGCGGCUUAUCAGCUUGUUGGUGGGGUAGUGGCUUACCAAGGCUUUGACGGGUAGCCGGCCUGAGAGCGUGACCGGCCACAUUGGGACUGAGAUACGGCCCAGAGUGCUACGGGAGGCAGCAGUGGGGAGUAUUGCACAAUGGGCGGAAGCCUGAUGCAGAAACGCCGCGUGCGGGAUGACGGCCUUCGGGUUGUAAACCGCUUUCGCCUGUGACGAAGCGUGAGUGACGGUAAUGGGUAAAGAAGCACCGGCUAACUACGUG